rnacentral:rRNA from 1 species
UACGUAGGGUCCGAGCGUUGUCCGGAGUUACUGGGCGUAAAGGGCGCGUAGGCGGUCAGCACAAGUCAGUUGUGAAAUCUCCGGGCUUAACUCGGAAAGGUCAACUGAUACUGUGCGACUAGAGUGCAGAAGGGGCAACUGGAAUUCUCGGUGUAGCGGUGAAAUGCGUAGAUAUCGAGAGGAACACCUGCGGCGAAGGCGGGUUGCUGGGCUGACACUGACGCUGAUGCGCGAAAGCCAGGGGAGCGAACGGG